rnacentral:rRNA from 1 species
GAUGAACGCUGGCGGCGUGCCUAAUACAUGCAAGUCGAGCGAACGGACGAGAAGCUUGCUUUUCUGAUGUUAGCGGCGGACGGGUGAGUAACACGUGGAUAACCUACCUAUAAGACUGGGAUAACUUCGGGAAACCGGAGCUAAUACCGGAUAAUAUUUUGAACCGCAUGGUUCAACAGUGAAAGACGGUCUUGCUGUCACUUAUAGAUGGAUCCGCGCUGCAUUAGCUAGUUGGUAAGGUAACGGCUUACCAAGGCAACGGUGCAUAGCCGACCUGAGAGGGUGAUCGGCCACACUGGAACUGAGACACGGUCCAGACUCCUACGGGAGGCAGCAGUAGGGAAUCUUCCGCAAUGGGCGAAAGCCUGACGGAGCAACGCCGCGUGAGUGAUGAAGGUCUUCGGAUCGUAAAACUCUGUUAUUAGGGAAGAACAUAUGUGUAAGUAACUGUGCACAUCUUGACGGUACCUAAUCAGAAAGCCACGGCUAACUACGUG